GACGAACGCUGGCGGCGUGCCUAAUGCAUGCAAGUCGAGCGGGCUACGAUCUUCGGAUUGUAGCUUAGCGGCGAACGGGUGAGUAACACGUAGGUAAUCUACCCUUCAGAGGAGGACAACCUCAGGAAACUGAGGCUAAACCUUCAUACGUUCACUGGUAGGGAUACUGGUGAAGAAAGAGUUACCUUAGUGGUAGCUGCUGAAGGAUGAGCCUGCGGCCCAUCAGGUAGUUGGUGAGGUAACGGCUCACCAAGCCGAAGACGGGUAACCGGUCUGAGAGGAUGUCCGGUCACACUGGGACUGAGACACGGCCCAGACUCCUACGGGAGGCAGCAGUGGGGAAUAUUGCACAAUGGGGGAAACCCUGAUGCAGCAACGCCGCGUGAAUGAUGACGGCCUUCGGGUUGUAAGUUCUUUGAUUGGGACGAAAUGACGGUACCCAAAAACAAGACCACGGCUAACUACGUG
rnacentral:rRNA from 1 species